CAAUGCCGUGCAGGCACACCAGAGAAGAGAUGCCUUGCUGUGGCUGGUGGAUUACAAUAUGUUUGCAACUCUGUUCACAGUGGAACUGGAUUCUUUGGAUACAUGGAAUUAAAGACUUAUAAUACUACUACUACUACUAAUAAUAAUAAGCAGUACUUAACAAAGAUAUGUUCAAGUGGUUGUAGUAUCCAGGGCCGCAUCCUCACUUCCAGGCGGAAUACCAAUCAGGAAAAUCCUGGCCAUGCACGGGUCCAGGACAGGUUGGCGUGCUUCAAAUCACCCCAACUUCAUUCGGCAACUUGUGUUGCAGUCUUUCAGUUUUUAUAUCACAGAGGACAAAGCCUGGAAACAUCACUCCAAAUAAGGAAGUGACAUUAAUGACAAAGACACUAACACAAACAAUCCACAAAUCCCAAAAGGUGGAUUGGCUGUAGAGGUCCAGUCCAGUGGCCACCAAGAUCUCCAAAUUUAACUCUGCUGGAUUUUUCUCUGUGGGGUUACCUGAAGGAACGUGUUCAUGUUGUGAAGAUACAAGAUCAUUUUCAGUGAAUUGUUGAUGCUUGUGGUCAAGAUUCAUCAGGUAUGGAAAAAGAUAAUUGCCUUAACUCUGCAACGUGGUGGACAGCACUUGAAUCAUACCCUAUAAACUUUUUAAUAACACUUGAGAAUGA